GGAUGGACCCGCGGCGUAUUAGCUAGUUGGUGAGGUAAAGGCUCACCAAGGCAGUGAUACGUAGCCGACCUGAGAGGGUAAUCGGCCACAUUGGGACUGAGACACGGCCCAGACUCCUACGGGAGGCAGCAGUAGGGAAUCUUCCACAAUGGACGCAAGUCUGAUGGAGCAACGCCGCGUGAGUGAAGAAGGGUUUCGGCUCGUAAAGCUCUGUUGUUAAAGAAGAACGUGGGUAAGAGUAACUGUUUACCCAGUGACGGUAUUUAACCAGAAAGCCACGGCUAACUACGUGCCAGCAGCCGCGGUAAUACGUAGGUGGCAAGCGUUAUCCGGAUUUAUUGGGCGUAAAGCGAGCGCAGGCGGUCUUUUAAGUCUAAUGUGAGAGCCUUCGGCUCAACCGAAGAAGUGCAUUGGAAACUGGGAGACUUGAGUGCAGAAGAGGACAGUGGAACUCCAUGUGUAGCGGUGAAAUGCGUAGAUAUAUGGAAGAACACCAGUGGCGAAGGCGGCUGUCUGGUCUGCAACUGACGCUGAGGCUCGAAAGCAUGGGUAGCGAACAGGAUUAGAUACCCUGGUAGUCCAUGCCGUAAACGAUGAUUACUAUGUGUUGGAGGG
rnacentral:rRNA from 1 species